AUGGAAAAAGUGUUCGGUCGUCACCGGGCCGAAAUCAAAUCCAUUACCGGCGUUUACAAGCGCGAGGCCGCCACCAUGUCGGACCGGGUCGAGAAACUUCAGGCGCUCAUCGACGCAUUCGAAGAUGCGGAAGGCCGACGACCGCGCAUUCUGGUCGCCAAGAUCGGUCAGGACGGCCACGAUCGCGGACAGAAGGUCAUCGCUUCGGCCUUCGCCGACGUCGGAUUCGACGUCGACAUCGGGC
rnacentral:misc_RNA from 1 species